UACGUAGGUGGCAAGCGUUGUCCGGAUUUACUGGGCGUAAAGGGUGCGUAGGCGGCUAUUUAAGUGGGAUGUGAAAUACCCGGGCUCAACUUGGGUGCUGCAUUCCAAACUGGAUAUCUAGAGUGUGGGAGAGGAAAAUGGAAUUCCUAGUGUAGCGGUGAAAUGCGUAGAGAUUAGGAAGAACACCAGUGGCGAAGGCGAUUUUCUGGACCAUAACUGACGCUGAGGCAUGAAAGCGUGGGGAGCAAACAGG
rnacentral:rRNA from 1 species